rnacentral:rRNA from 1 species
GACGAACGCUGGCGGCGUGCCUAAUACAUGCAAGUCGAGCGAAUCUUUAGGAGCUUGCUCCUAAAGGUUAGCGGCGGACGGGUGAGUAACACGUGGGCAACCUGCCUAUAAGACUGGGAUAACUUCGGGAAACCGGAGCUAAUACCGGAUAAUUCCUUUCCUCUCAUGAGGAAAGGCUGAAAGACGGUUUCGGCUGUCACUUAUAGAUGGGCCCGCGGCGCAUUAGCUAAUUGGUGAGGUAACGGCUCACCAAGGCAACGAUGCGUAGCCGACCUGAGAGGGUGAUCGGCCACACUGGGACUGAGACACGGCCCAGACUCCUACGGGAGGCAGCAGUAGGGAAUCUUCCGCAAUGGACGAAAGUCUGACGGAGCAACGCCGCGUGAGUGAUGAAGGUUUUCGGAUCGUAAAACUCUGUUGUUAGGGAAGAACAAGUACGAGAGUAACUGCUCGUACCUUGACGGUACCUAACCAGAAAGCCACGGCUAACUACGUGCCAGCCGCCGCGGUAAGAC